UACAGAGGGUGCAAGCGUUGUUCGGAAUUAUUGGGCGUAAAGAGCUCGUAGGCGGUUUGUCGCGUCUGCUGUGAAAUCCCAGGGCUUAACCCUGGGCCUGCAGUGGGUACGGGCAAACUAGAGUGCGGUAGGGGAGAUCGGAAUUCCUGGUGUAGCGGUGAAAUGCGCAGAUAUCAGGAGGAACACCGGUGGCGAAGGCGGAUCUCUGGGCCGUAACUGACGCUGAGGAGCGAAAGCAUGGGUAGCGAACAGG
rnacentral:rRNA from 1 species